rnacentral:rRNA from 1 species
GUGUCAGCCGCCGCGGUAAUACGUAGGGGGCGAGCGUUGUCCGGAUUUAUUGGGCGUAAAGAGCGUGUAGGCGGCCAGGUAGGUCCGUUGUGAAAACUCGAGGCUCAACCUCGAGAUGUCGAUGGAAACCAUCUGGCUAGAGUCCGGAAGAGGAGAGUGGAAUUCCUGGUGUAGCGGUGAAAUGCGCAGAUAUCAGGAAGAACACCUAUGGCGAAGGCAGCUCUCUGGGACGGUACUGACGCUGAGACGCGAAAGCGUGGGGAGCGAACAGGAUUAGAAACCCUUGUAGUCC